rnacentral:lncRNA from 1 species
ACAACUUUGAAUGAAGGGAAAUGCCCAAGAUGUCCUGAUCUGACUAAUUAGUUUUAUUCUUUCGGGCUUGCUAAGCAUUUCUAAAGCAUUAGACUAACAGAUUCCUGUGAAGUUCUGUGCAUAUGUCCCAGCCUCAACAUCUAUCAAAGUCUGGAAACAGAUGUUUUCAGUGCUGCUGAGAGAAACAAAAAAUUUCCUAAUGCAUCUGAGAGAUAAGCUUCGGCAGUAUUACAAGAAGAUUAAAGUGGCAGACACCCCUUCCAGCGGAAGUUACUAAUUCGGACCUGACUGAUGCAGUUCCCAUAGCAACCCAUGUUUCCUGGGAAACCCGAAAAAGGUUGUCAUGGCAUCUCUUGCUCUCUAGCCCCACCUUCCAGUCCCUGCUGUUUCCACAGUAACCUUUCCAGAUGGUUCCUACUUAAAUGAUUUCAUAAAGGAAAACCACUGUUUGAAUAAACUGCAAAAAUAAAGUUAAGUCUGAGACUCUAAGGAGGUGAAAUGAAUCCCAAAUGCAUUUUUUAACUAUGAAAAUCAUUGAUGUCAUUCCAUAAUGACUGAAUCAAGAAGGAAAAUAUGGUAUUUGGAAUGUUACAUAUUAACCACAAUAAGGCAUGAUCUGGAUUAAGUGCCAUUUAUUAGGCAAUAAUUUUUAAAGAUGCUUCUCUACAGUUUUCUUUCUCCAAGAAUUUUCAAGCCAACAAAUGGAAUUUAAAAGCAAAUGUAAAAGUGUUCUGUACAUAAGCAAAUGAGAGAUACAAUCAAUGUACCUGAAACCUUACAACAAAGGAUCUUCAGGCUUUCUCUUUAAAAAAAAAAAAAAAAAAAAAAAUACAGAUCCCACAACAGCUCUGUCAUCAUCACAGCACUUGACAAGCCAAGUAAACUUCAAAUAGAUGAAGGAUGCACGUUUUAAACUGAAUGAAUUGCAGACAAUCAAUAAAAAGGAGGGACAGGAAGUAACCAGCUCUUGGGAGAACACCUGCAGCUUUCAGCCAUAUGCCAAGGGUUGCCAGAAGACAGACAGAAUCAGCAGUUCCAAGUCCUUCCCACCUCUCAGCUGCGAAUAGAAGUGAUAACCCUUCCCACUAAGAAAUGCAAGGAAGCACACAUGCCCCAUAAUCUGAAGACUUAUGGAAACACUGUGAGAUAGAGGUGAGGAGCAUAAGAAUGUGGAAGAGAAUAUUUAGGGAUUCCAUUUUUAAGGUGGGAGCUUCUUUUUUC